AGGGAGUGAGAUGCUCUUCCAUUCCCUUCAUAGGGAAUAAAGGUGCCCGUCAGGGAAAAAACUCAUCACGGGAGGGAUAUUCUCCAUCUCCCUCAGGAGAAUAAAGGGACACACGGACUUGGACCAGGCCGAGUCGCUGCCAGGGCCGACGUUUGCAGAGGCAUCAGAGCCAGAAGGAACUGGACUGCAGCCACCUCAGAGAGGUGAGACAGCUCACCCCUGGACAGGAAGGUGAAGUCCCUCUUGUAACGUGAAUAAAGAACCGAAAAUUCCACAACAAUUCUUGAAGAUUUCUUCCCUGCUGCAGCGUCUGCUCUGAGGUGACCAAAAUCCCCCAUCAACCUUCAGGGAAUUUUCUGAGAAAACCGGUAUUUACAAUAUUACUGAGUUCCAAAUUAUCCCUGUUCCCACGAAGGCCUGAUGAGUGACCAGCGUUUUAAUUAGAAUUAGAGCACCAGGUACAACAGCCAACAAGGCACACGCGAGGUAUCGUUUGCUGCACACUGUCACUGCACUCUGGGCGCGGUAAAAUGGGGGAUAACGGGAAUUUUCCCUCACCGGGGAUCAUCUUUAGAAAAACUGAAUGCGUAAACCCAGCCUCGACUGUGCUGUGACACUGUGACAGAGGCAUUAUAACAGCUGGGAGUCUCCGGGGGGCGCGGGGCCAUAUCCCAUCGCAUCCCGGUUAUCCCCAA